rnacentral:tRNA from 1 species
GGCCUGGUGGCGGAGGGGCGACGCGCCGGACGUGCAUGUCCGGAGACCCUCCGUUCGACCCGGAGGCCAGGCCUCCA